rnacentral:rRNA from 1 species
GUGGGGAAUAUUGGACAAUGGGCGAAAGCCUGAUCCAGCCAUGCCGCGUGUGUGAAGAAGGUCUUCGGAUUGUAAAGCACUUUAAGUUGGGAGGAAGGGCAGUAAGUUAAUACCUUGCUGUUUUGACGUUACCGACAGAAUAAGCACCGGCUAACUUCGUGCCAGCAGCCGCGGUAAUACGAAGGGUGCAAGCGUUAAUCGGAAUUACUGGGCGUAAAGCGCGCGUAGGUGGUUUUGUAAGUUGGAGGUGAAAUCCCCGGGCUCAACCUGGGAACUGCCUCCAAAACUGCAUGACUAGAGGACGGUAGAGGGUAGUGGAAUUUCCUGUGUAGCGGUGAAAUGCGUAGAUAUAGGAAGGAACACCAGGGGCGAAGGCGACUACCUGGACUGAUACUGACACUGAGGUGCGAAAGCGUGGGGAGCAAACAGGAUUAGAUACCCCAGUAGUCC